rnacentral:rRNA from 1 species
UUAUACCGGCGAGUGAGGCUACGGGUGCUAAGGUCCGUGGCCGAGAGGGGAACGAACCCAGACCAACAGCUAAGGUCCCUAAAUUGAUAUUAAGUUGAAUCUAACGAUGUGAGGAUGCAUUGACAGCUAGGAUGUUUGCUUGGAAGCAGCAAUUCAUUUAAAGAGUGCGUAACAGCUCACUAGUCGAGCGUUCUUGCGCGGAAAAUAAUCGGGCAUCAAAUAUCAUACCGAAGCUUUGGAUUUCCGAUGAAAAUCGGGACUGGUAGGGGAGCAUUCUAAACGGCGAAGAAGGUGUGUGGUGAUGCAUGCUGGAGUGUUUAGAAAAGCAAAUGUAGGAAUGAGUAACGAUAAACCAGGUGAAAGACCUGGUCGCCGUAAGACUAAGGAUUCCGGGAACUAUGUUAAUCAGAACCGGGUUAGUCGGGACCUAAGGUGUAGCCGAGAGGCGAAGCCGAUGGAGAACAGGUUAAUAUUCCUGUACAUGUACUAAUUGUGAUGGGGUG